rnacentral:rRNA from 1 species
UGGGGAAUUUUGGACAAUGGGCGAAAGCCUGAUCCAGCAAUGCCGCGUGUGUGAAGAAGGCCUUCGGGUUGUAAAGCACUUUUGUCCGGAAAGAAAUCCUUGGCUCUAAUACAGUCGGGGGAUGACGGUACCGGAAGAAUAAGCACCGGCUAACUACGUGCCAGCAGCCGCGGUAAUACGUAGGGUGCAAGCGUUAAUCGGAAUUACUGGGCGUAAAGCGUGCGCAGGCGGUUUGCUAAGACCGAUGUGAAAUCCCCGGGCUCAACCUGGGAACUGCAUUGGUGACUGGCAGGCUAGAGUAUGGCAGAGGGGGGUAGAAUUCCACGUGUAGCAGUGAAAUGCGUAGAGAUGUGGAGGAAUACCGAUGGCGAAGGCAGCCCCCUGGGUCCAAUACUGAC